rnacentral:misc_RNA from 1 species
AAUUCUCAACUCCCAAGUUUCUUUGAAGCAUGGUGAGCUUGGACUUGGAGGAUAAGUGCUGGCUAUUAAUCUAGUCAGCUCCUCUGAAAUGCAUUAGCAUAGAUUUUGCAAUCAUCUUCAGUGUGAUAAUUGUCUGCGCUGUCGAUGUAAAGCAAUCUAUAUUUAUGCUUAUAGUCGUCUUUUAAAGACACUUCUUUGACUU